UCCACCCGGUCAUAGUAGGGGGGCAACACCCGGACUCAUCUCGAACCCGGAAGUUAAGUCCCCUACGUUGGUAGGGCGGUGGGAUCCGCAAGGGCCCGCAGCCCUGCCAAGCCGGGAUGGA
rnacentral:rRNA from 1 species